AUGCCAGUCGAGCGGAUCUUCAUUAACUUGCUUUUGAAGAUCAGCGGCGGACGGGUGAGUAACACGUGGGCAACCUGCCUGUAAGACUGGGAUAACUUCGGGAAACCGGAGCUAAUACCGGAUAAUCCUUUCCCUCACAUGAGGGAAAGCUGAAAGACGGUUUCGGCUGUCACUUACAGAUGGGCCCGCGGCGCAUUAGCUAGUUGGUGAGGUAAUGGCUCACCAAGGCAACGAUGCGUAGCCGACCUGAGAGGGUGAUCGGCCACACUGGGACUGAGACACGGCCCAGACUCCUACGGGAGGCAGCAGUAGGGAAUCUUCCGCAAUGGACGAAAGUCUGACGGAGCAACGCCGCGUGAGCGAUGAAGGCCUUCGGGUCGUAAAGCUCUGUUGUCAGGGAAGAACAAGUACCGGAGUAACUGCCGGUACCUUGACGGUACCUGACCAGAAAGCCACGGCUAACUACGUGCCAGCAGCCGCGGUAAUACGUAGGUGGCAAGCGUUGUCCGGAAUUAUUGGGCGUAAAGCGCGCGCAGGCGGUUCCUUAAGUCUGAUGUGAAAGCCCCCGGCUCAACCGGGGAGGGUCAUUGGAAACUGGGGAACUUGAGUGCAGAAGAGGAGAGCGGAAUUCCACGUGUAGCGGUGAAAUGCGUAGAGAUGUGGAGGAACACCAGUGGCGAAGGCGGCUCUCUGGUCUGUAACUGACGCUGAGGCGCGAAAGCGUGGGGAGCGAACAGGAUUAGAUACCCUGGUAGUCCACGCCGUAAACGAUGAGUGCUAAGUGUUAGAGGGUUUCCGCCCUUUAGUGCUGUAGCAACGCAUUAAUCACUCCGCGGGGAGGACGGCCUCUGUGCUGAUACU
rnacentral:rRNA from 2 species